UCUACAUGAUGGUUGUUUGGAUGAAUAGCAAGAUCAGAUAUUUUGGGAUUUUUAAUUUACAUUUUGAUGUGUUUGGUGAUGAUUAUCACCUUAACAUAUGGUAUGGAUAAAACAUUUUGAUGUAUGGUUAAUAGGUAUGCUUGACUUUAGACUUAUAGAUGAUGAUAUUUAUAAUGAAUGAUUAUGGAUUUUUCAACAUUGUGUAUACUUCUAUUUGGAUGAGCAAAU
rnacentral:lncRNA from 1 species